UUACUGGUCUCUGGCUGAGCGGACCGUCCGGGCAUCGGUGUGUAUCCCUGGCACACAACAGUCGCACUUAAACCUGGCCACUAAUGCCUUUUCGAGACAGAAGUGAUGGGCACGGAUCGCUUGCUCUCAAGGAUGCUCAGCCUGGGUUGGGUCACCUGAAUUGUUUGUUCCUGUCCAGGGACUCCGCGAUGGAAGCCAUUCGGCAGAUUAUUCGCUACUAAUCACUCUCCAAGUGUGUGCAGGAUGGAGGCGAAAGGUUCGCUUUUUCCCCUCCUCUCGUUUAGGGGACCUGGAAGAAGGCAGGAUUCAGAGGACAGCUCUCAGUAACUAUGAGGGUCUUCGAAUGCCCCUGCUGAGAGCGGCGCAGUGGGUGUCUGGCGCAGAGGAAAGGGCUCACAGCACUGCGGGCCCUGCGCUCAGAGGCACGAAGUGCGCUCCGCAUCUGCUCAGACCACAGCCACCCGGGCUGUCAGAGCGUGGGCCGCUUCAGUUGAGUGGGGUGCGUGUUUGUACGAGAAAGACCCAGAGACAAAGACACAUACUCUAUCAGAUAUUGCAGUGGACUGGAUCUGUGUGAACUCUUCGAAACAGACACAAAUGCUGGACAACGUUUCAAAUCCCCUAAAGCCCAUUCCUGAUGAUCGAUGGCUUCCAGCCUAAGGACCCAGUCUUGAAGCUUCUUUCUCUUUCUGUUCUUUUGAGAUCUGGAGUCAGCGGGAGGAAGGAGCGGGGCACUCACGGUGCAACGGAUCAGAGCAGAGUUGCAGAGAGAACCCAGAGGAAGACAGGGUGGAGACUUCUUUGCGUUCGAGUGAGAUCUUUCAACAUCGUGCGAUCCACGGCUGAGUGGUGUGUUCCCGUCUAAUCUGUUCACCAGGUGUCUCACCCUCUGCGGAAGGAUCCCUGGAGGCAAGGAGUGUAUCUAGUGCAGUGUCUGGCUCACAGUAGGUGCCCAGUCAACAACUGUUGAAUGAACAGGUGAAAUCCAUUUCUCCCUCCGACCGAUGGCUCUCCUCAACCAUUGGGAGGCCAGGUGAGUAUUAAGGCUUUGCAGAGAAUUGUUGCCAAAACAAUAAAUAAUAACUCUGGGGAAAUUAAUUGUCAGAUCUGGCUCUUUCAUUAGUAGCUCAUCAAAGGACUGUGAGCCCCCAGGGGGACUCUUAAAAAUAAGUAACCGAUCAGCAUGGAAGGAAGGGCAUCCUCUUCCCAGCACCCCACCAACACAACACACAAACAGAUGCACCUCCUGUGAAUCGCUGGGCCUGGCCAUUUAACACAGUUAUUACCAACUCCCACUUAGUGAAUUAUGAGCAAGAGCCUUGAGAGAGCUUUCAAAGAUCUUCAAACGGAUGUUUAAAAGCCUGCGGUUGCUCAGACAGGCUAAGCUAAUGGCAUUUAUUACUUGGAGCAUAGGGUAUUUACAUAAAGCAGGAUUUUUAUUAUAAUGGUCAGAUGGGGAGGGUAGGAGGGAAGGGGAGGGGGAGGGUGCAAGCAUUGUACUUUGACUCAACAUAGAGGAUGUUAUCACACCCCUCAUCCCCACCAUAGGGUUGCUUCUCUCAGAUGCCAGCAUAAACACCAAGCCUAGGGCAGGGGUCGGGUAGGAGGAGGGCCCCUGAGAGAGAAGGCACCAGGUUUCUAUGGAGCAAGGGGCUCAGCACCCUGGACAGCUCACAGCGUCUGCCACUGAUCUUCGGGUAGCUGCACUGUCAGCUCCCAUUCUCACUAGGGUCUGUCCACUGAAGCUGUAGGGGAGGUCCCUCACUCGUCCAAGCUACAGUCUGAAAUGGAGAUAAUCAAGGGAUCUACUCUCUUCUGGCUUAACCAGUGGUCCUAGCAGUCUCUGUACACUCCUCUGCACAAUGGAAAUGAAUUGAAGCCGGUUGUUGCUGGCCUCUGGGAGUCUGUACUAGUUGUCUACUGCUUCGUAAAAAAAUAAAAAUAAAUUAAAAAAUUCAUGAAACUUAGGGACUUAAAACAACAAUGGCUUUUUAUUUCUCAGGAUUCUGUAGAUGGACUGGGUAAUUCUACCUGGAGAACUCUUGCAAAUGCAAUUGGCUGAUGGAUUGGUUGGGGCUGGAGGGUCAGGUGGUGAGUGUGGAUUUAAUAGAGGGGGAGAUGAAAGAAAUGAGUCUGGAAUAUGAAUGUGUGUUUCCAGGCUGGCACCAUGGAAAAGAACAUUUGAGGAAAAGGAAGAAGCAUGAGAGCAAAGGUCUGAAAUAACAAGGGAUGUUUGGAAGCCGUGCAGAUCCCAGAGGUCAGGAGGUGGAGGCAGGAGGAUCCCAAGUUCAAAGCCAGCCUCAGCAAUUUAGCAAGGCGCCAAGCAACUCAGUGAGGCACUAAGCAACUCAGUGAGGCCAUGUCUCUAAUAAAAUACAAAUGGUCCUGAUGCCAGAUCAUAAGAGAGCUUGGGGAGAAGAAAGAUUUCAGAUGAUUCUGGAGGAGGGCAGUUGAUGGAAAACCACACCACGGGGCUUUACUCAGAGGAGGUCACACGAGGAGCUGAUGAAAUGUUCCUGUACAAACUCACAUGAUCCCUGAAGACAGGUAGUUCUGAGGCCCGAAUGCCAAUAUGGGCACAGAGACUUGUCGAGGACCUUUGCUGGGUCUUCUUUGCCAUGGCACCUUCUCUACCUUGUUUUGAUGCCCACCCUCCUCACUCCGAUCUUCCAUCCAUCAAAUGUUUCUGGAGUGCUCCGGAUGGGACAGACACUGGACCUACAGUGAUGAACUGUAGCUGCAUCGUGGGGGAGCUCCCAGGACAGGCAGAGGAUGCUUCCAGAAUAACCUCAGAGUGGCAAUGCCUCCCUCUCCCCUCCCCUCCGAUGGAGAAAUGGAGGCAUUAAAACUGGUUCCCAGCAGCCAGGCACAGUGGCACAUGCCUGUAAUCCCAGCGGCUCAGGAGACAGAGGCAGGAGGAUCGUGAGUUCAAAGCCAGCCUCAGCAAUUUAAUGAGGUGCUAAGCAACUCGGUGAGGCCCUG